ACGCUCGACACCUACGGGGGGCAGCAGUGGGGAAGUAUUGCACAAUGGGGGAAACCCGUACGAUGCAGCGACGCCGCGUGAGUGAAGAAGUUAUUCGGUAUAGUAAAGCUCUAUCAGACAGGAAGAAGAUAGACGGUACCUCGAGUAAGAACGCCCCGGCUAACUACGUGCCGGCAGCCGCGGUAAUCGUGAGGCGGGCUGGCAAGGC
rnacentral:rRNA from 1 species